rnacentral:ncRNA from 1 species
UAUAAACUGCCACCGGGUAGUAUGCGUAAGCAUUCGAUACACAUCGUUAGGUCUUAGAAGAUGUGUGUUCGGAUGCUUUUUUUGGG